UCAUAAAUUCAUAACUGUAUCUUCAAGUAUAUCAGCAAAAUUAUCAUACCCCAGUUCAAAUACUGUUCAUUGUUUGAUUUUGUUGAAUUGAUGCCUCGCUUUAUGUCUAUCUAUAUGUUUGAUUAUCAACCCAUGUUUUGUAUCUGUAAAACCCUUUAGUUUUGAUAUGCUUGUUUGCCAAAAAGAAGAAAUAUUUGGGUUAUUGUGCCAUUAUGCUAGCAAUUGUAUGAGAAGUUAAUUUGAUGAGAGUAAAGGAGUUCGGAUUUCAUGUAUGUAGAAUUUGGUGUAGAAUAUGUUCAAUAAGUGUAAGUUUUUCUCUGCUUAUCAAUAAGUGUAAGUUUUUCUUUAUGUCUGAAUAAUUAGGAUUGAUGCAAGCACUGAGCAUGGAGUCUGUGAUGUGCUAAUCAUUCCUCGAAUGAUUAAAUGUAGACUCCAUACGACGCCGGAUUUAUAUUGGGUUGUAUAUGUAUUGCUUUGAUUGGUGUAUGAGUGGACUAUGUGAUAUCAGAGAAAUAAUGGCAAUAAAUUUCGGGUUCAAGAUUAUAAGAUCAGCUGUCUGAAUUUUCUCUUAUAAGUUCGGCCAUUCUUACUUGUGUAGAAGGAAAGGGGGGGGGGGAGAAGGUUGGUUCAUUGGUGAUUGGGAACUGGGAAGAGUCGAAUGUUUUAGAUGCAGCGGCUUCUUUUGAUACGCACGUAGAGGUAAAUAAGGGUCAAGCUAGCACUUAGUCUACAUCUAUGUUGUAGGGACUUGGAUACUUGUGUUGGGGAUCUGGAUACGUGUCCAAGUAUCCAACUUGACUAAUUUAGGAUAACUAUAUUGGCCCAAAAAUGAAGAGUUAAAGUGUCGAUACGCAUGUCAGAGAGAGUUGAGAAUGUGGCACAAGUAGUUGAGGUAAUUGAAGAGUGAGUACUAUUGGUCAGUCAGGGUGUGUUCUUUUCUAUUUAUUUGUGUUCAACUGGACUUGUACAUGCUGAAUUGAAAUUAAGUUUACCUUUGUGUAUGAAACUGAAUCAAGUUAUCGAUCUAUUCUUCUUUGUUGUUACCAAACUUUUUUUCCUAUUGUUUUUGCUUUGUGAAAAGAGCACGCUCUACUUUAGCUCUUGCUUCUGCUAGCCUAGAGCCCUAGCCUCUGGUCAAUCUAGAUGUCCUCUAAUCUAUGAUGGUAUUGGGUAUAUGUGACUACUUAUUGGUUAGCUUCUUGCUGAGUGCUCACAGUGACAGUUCAGACAUCAUGGAGAACCGUGAUUUCGACAGUGACAAUCACUUUGAAGAUUGUCUGAUCAAACUGAGGGUCAAUCCUAAAAGGAGGCGGGAUAAAGUAUAUGUUGGUUGUGGAGCUGGCUUUAGUGGUGACAGGCCAAUGGCAGCUUUGAAGUUGCUUCAAAGUGUGAAGGAGCUUAACUACAUUGUACUUGAAUGUCUUUCUGAGCGCACUCUGCUUGACCGAUACAAGGAGAUGAUAUCUGGCGGGGAUGGUUAUGACCCACGCAUUUCGGAAUGGAUGCAUUUGCUCUUGCCUCUAGCUGUGGAAAGAGGAACAUGCAUAAUCACAAAUAUGGGAGCAAUGGACCCAAUUGGUGCUCAGGAAAAGGUCCUUCAAAUAGCGAGCAGUCUGGGGCUUAGCAUAAGAGUUGCUGUUGCACAUGAAAUUAACUCCAAAGAUUUAGGGUCAAGAUCCUCGCAUAACAUAUCUUCUGUCAUCAAUGGUGGCGUUAGCACAUAUCUUGGAGCGGCACCAAUUGUCAGGUGCCUUGAGUUACAUGAGCCAAAUGUCAUCAUUACAAGUCGUGUGGCAGAUGCUGCUCUAUUCUUAGGCCCAAUGGUUUAUGAACUGGGCUGGAACUGGGAUGAUCUGGAGCAGCUAGCACAAGGAACUUUAGCAGGCCAUCUUUUAGAGUGUGGUGGUCAGCUGACUGGAGGUUUUUUUAUGCAUCCAGGAGACAAACACAGAGAUAUAUCUUUUCAAUGUCUUCUAAAUUUACCACUUCCAUAUGCUGAAAUCAGUUAUCAGGGAGAGAUAUGUGUGGCGAAGGCUGAUGGUAGUGGCGGUGUUUUGAACUUCGGUACUUGUGCGCAGCAGCUUCUCUAUGAGAUUACAGAUCCAAGUGCUUAUAUUACUCCUGAUAUGGUGUUGGACAUGCGUGAUGUGACUUUCAAACCCCUGUCUAGCACCAAGAUUCUCUGCACUGGAGCAAAACCUUCAACUAUAUCGACUCCUGAGAAACUUCUGCAACUAGUGCCAAAGGAAUCUGGAUGGAAAGGGUGGGGAGAAAUAUCAUAUGGAGGCUAUGAAUGUGUAAAACGCGCGAGGGCAGCUGAAUACCUGGUUAGAUGUUGGAUGGAAGAAUCAUAUCCAGGUAUAAAUAGCCGCAUAAUUUCUUAUAUCAUUGGACUUGAUAGCCUGAAAGCAGUCAGCAGUGAUAGUAUCACGUCAAUAGCGGCUGGCUGCCGAGACAUAAGGCUACGCAUGGAUGGGCUAUUUGAGGCUGAGGAACAUGCAAUCAAAUUUGUUAGAGAGUUCAUUGCUUUAUAUACAAAUGGCCCUGCUGGUGGUGGUGGUAUAAGUACUGGGCACAAGAAAGAAGUACUUUUGGCGAAAGAACUGGUUGGACGUGAGUCUAUCUUCUGGCAUAUUGGGUCUAAGAGAACAAACAUAGCCAACACACAUAACUCGGAACACAGUAACAUAAAGGACGUCAAAAUAGGAACAUCCUUUUUAAACAAAUUAGUCUCAUUGCCCGAUGGCCUUACUGAUUUGUCAGAUCAGAAUGCGGAAUAUUUAUCUGGUGAAUACCUAAGAUCUCCUGCACCAUCAGGCAAGAAAAUUCCUCUGUAUGAAAUUGCACAUAGCAGAAUCGGAGAUAAAGGAAACGACCUGAACUUUUCCGUCAUCCCCCAUUUCCCCGAAGAUAUUAAGAGGCUGCAGAUGAUUAUAAAUCCUGAAUGGGUGAAAGAAGUGCUGUCUCCUCUUUUGAACCCAUGUCCAUUUCCACAUUCAGAUGCCAUUCUAAAGAGAGAUAAAUGGCUCGAAGAAAAUGUGAAAGUGGAGAUAUAUGAGGUUAAGGGUAUUCAUUCCUUAAAUGUUGUGGUUCGCAAUAUUCUUGAUAGUGGUGUAAAUUGCUCUCGGAGGAUUGAUCGACAUGGGAAGACUAUAUCGGAUAUCAUACUUUCCCAACAAGUUGUGUUGCCUUAACCAUUCAGCAACUAAGUAUGAUCUGUUGUGGCCUUGUGGGCAGAGUCGUAUAUCUCCUUGGCUCCUCAUGAUGUGCAAAAGUUUGCUAAUUAUUUGUUGCUGAUCAUAGUCUGUCCUGAUAUUCAAUAAUAAAAACAAUUUGUAGAAAU